ensembl:misc_RNA Y_RNA Y RNA
AGCUGGUCCAAAGGUAGUGAGUUAUCUCAAUUGUUCAGUCAGUAACAGAACAAACUCCUUGUUCUACUCUUUUCUCCCUUCUCAUUACUACACUUUACUAGUCUUAA